AUUGAACGCUGGCGGCAUGCUUUACACAUGCAAGUCGAACGGCAGCGCGGGCUUCGGCCUGGCCGCGAGUGGCCAACGGGCGAGUAAUUCAUCGGAACGUGCCCAGCCUUGGGGGAUAGCCCGGCUAAAGCCGGAUUAAUACCGCAUACGACCUGAGGGUGAAACCGGGGGACCGAAAGGCCUCGCGCUAUUUGCGCGGCCGAUGUCGGAUUAGCUAGUUGGUUGGGUAAAGGCUUACCAAGGCGACGAUCCGUAGCAGGUCUGAGAGGACGACCAGCCACACUGGGACUGAGACACGGCCCAGACUCCUACGGGAGGCAGCAGUGGGGAAUUUUGGACAAUGGGGGCAACCCUGAUCCAGCCAUGCCGCGUGCGGGAAGAAGGCCUUCGGGUUGUAAACCGCUUUUGUUCGGGAAGAAAUCCUCUGGGCUAAUACCCCGGGGGGAUGACGGUACCGGAAGAAUAAGCACCGGCUAACUACGUG
rnacentral:rRNA from 1 species